AACGAACGCUGGCGGCAUGCCUAACACAUGCAAGUCGAACGAGACCUUCGGGUCUAGUGGCGCACGGGUGCGUAACGCGUGGGAAUCUGCCCUUGGGUUCGGAAUAACCUCGGGAACUGAAGCUAAUACCGGAUGAUGACGUAAGUCCAAAGAUUUAUCGCCCAAGGAUGAGCCCGCGUAGGAUUAGCUAGUUGGUGAGGUAAAGGCUCACCAAGGCGACGAUCCUUAGCUGGUCUGAGAGGAUGAUCAGCCACACUGGGACUGAGACACGGCCCAGACUCCUACGGGAGGCAGCAGUGGGGAAUAUUGGACAAUGGGCGAAAGCCUGAUCCAGCAAUGCCGCGUGAGUGAUGAAGGCCUUAGGGUUGUAAAGCUNUUUUACCCGGGAUGAUAAUGACAGUACCGGGAGAAUAAGCUCCGGCUAACUCCGUGCCAGCAGCCGCGGUAAAGUGACUACUG
rnacentral:rRNA from 1 species